GAUGAACGCUAGCGGGAGGCUUAACACAUGCAAGUCGAGGGGCAGCACGAGGUAGCAAUACUUUGGUGGCGACCGGCGCACGGGUGAGUAACGCGUAUGCAACCUACCCUGUACUGGGGGAUAACCCGGAGAAAUUCGGACUAAUACCCCAUAAUGAUAUUUGGAGGCAUCUUUGAAUAUUUAAAGUUCCAACGGUACGGGCUGGGCAUGCGUAACAUUAGCUAGUUGGUAGGGUAACGGCCUACCAAGGCUACGAUGUUUAGGGGUCCUGAGAGGGUGAUCCCCCACACUGGUACUGAGAAACGGACCAGACUCCUACGGGAGGAAUCAGUUAGUAAUAUUGGUCAAUGGGCCCAAGCCUGAACCAGCCAUCCCGAGUGAAGGAAUAAGGCGCUAUGUGUUGUAAACUUCUUUUCCAGGGGAAUAAGACCUCCGAUGUAUCGGGGCUUGCCGGUACCCGGGGAAUGAGCAUCGGCUAACUUCGUGCCAGCAGCCGCAGUAACAC
rnacentral:rRNA from 1 species